rnacentral:rRNA from 1 species
CACGUAGGCACCAAGCGUUGUCCGGAUUUAUUGGGCGUAAAGAGCUCGUAGGCGGUUCGGUAAGUCGGGUGUGAAAACUCUGGGCUCAACCCAGAGCCGCCACCCGAUACUGCUGUGACUUGAGUUCGGUAGGGGAGCGGGGAAUUCCUGGUGUAGCGGUGAAAUGCGCAGAUAUCGGGAGGAACACCAGUAGCGAAGGCGGCUCGCUGGGCCGUUCCUGACGCUGAGACGCGAAAGCUAGGGGAGCGAACAGG